UACGUAGGGUGCGAGCGUUAAUCGGAAUUACUGGGCGUAAAGCGUGCGCAGGCGGUGAUGUAAGACAGGUGUGAAAUCCCCGGGCUUAACCUGGGAACUGCAUUUGUGACUGCAUAGCUAGAGUUUGUCAGAGGGGGGUGGAAUUCCACGUGUAGCAGUGAAAUGCGCAGAUAUCAGGAGGAACACCCAUUGCGAAGGCAGCUCGCUGGGACGUUACUGACGCUGAGACGCGAAAGCGUGGGGAGCAAACAGG
rnacentral:rRNA from 1 species